CCUGUCAGUUUCACAGGUCAAGC
rnacentral:miRNA from 1 species